AAAUAGCCCUGAUAGAGCCGAUAUCCUCGCAAUGAAAUGGAGAGAUAAAGGCGAGAGCAGGAGGGAAC
rnacentral:misc_RNA from 1 species